CUUGUUGCUUGCUUAUUUGAAUCCUCCCUCUCCUUCCAGGCUUGGCUCGGGCACCACCCAGGCCUUCAUGAAGCCUGGCCCAGAUCCCCUCAGCCAAAAGUGAUCCCUCCCUCCUCAUGUUUCCUCAGAGCACUUGGCCUCCCUCUCCUACGUUCUCAUCCUGUUGGAUUGUGUGUGGGGCACGUUUGUGCAGCUCUCAUCCAUCCCUCAGCUGAGGGGAGGACCCAUAUCCACAAGGCCUGGCACAGUGCCUCGUUCAGAGUGGGCCGAGUGGUGAAGGGCCUUUGGAUUGUGGGACCGAGUCUAUGCUGUUCUUUGUCGUUAUCUGAAUCUCUGAAACAGGAGAUUCAGUGGAUGGAACACUGGGCCUAGAGUCAAGAGGACCUGAGUUCAGAUCUGCCCUCAACAUUUACUAGCUCGGGGCAAGUCUCUGUUUGCCUCCGUUUCCUCAUCUGUAAAAUGGGGAUAAUAACAGCACCUACCUCACAGGGUGGUUAUGAGAAAUAAAUCAGAGAAUAUUUUUAAGUACUUUGCAAACCACAAAGCACUGUAUGAAGGGCUAGCUAUUAUUAUCGUUAAUUUCUCAUAGGACAGUCUCAUAGUGCUCUUAAUUACAUUGUGUAGCUUAUUUCAGUUCAAGAUGAUUGAAUCUCAGGAUCUUGUAACGACUCUAAGAUCAUUCCAGUGGUGAAAAUAUUUUUUUCAUCCUUUGUUGAUAAUGGAGAAUUUAAUAAACUGGAAAGCAUUUUUUCAGACUCCUCCACCAAAUGUAUAUUCGUGAAGCAUGUGGUUUUCAGAUUUUAUUUUCUCCUAAUUCCUUCCCGGUCUUACAGCUUAUGUUCCUUAGAAUUUGUUUCCUUUCUGCCUAAUGUCUCCUUCACUAACUGCUCUCUUACCGCCUUUUUCUGAUGGCAGGUUUCCUCGCCCAAAUUCAUUACGUCAACGACGUCGGCGUCUUCUUCCGUCCUUUUGUCGCCCAGUGUUUUCCAGCAGUCCGUGACAAAACCCCCAGAGCUAGAGAAGAAAGCCAGUCCCCCUUCUCGAUCAGGCGGGGCCUCAGAACAUCCAACAAAACCUCCUUUGGUUCUCAGCCGGUCUCAGCUCCAGGACACAUUAAUACAUCUAAUCAAGAAUGAUGCCAGCUUUCUCAGCACACUUCACGAAGUCUAUUUGCAAGUCCUGACCAAGAACAUAAAUAACCUGCAGCUCUAGUGACCUGAGCUAAAGCCACCGGGCACUCUGUGUGAGGGGGUGGAUGUCUGCUCAGUAACAAAUACGCCUCAUUAAUGGAACUGGUAUGAGAGGUUUCAUUUUUAAAGAAACAAUGCUUAGUCUGGAAAGUCCUGAAAUUGAGCCUAUGAGAGAGAGAAAGAGAGAGACUUGUUCUUAAAGAAUGUUUUAAGGUUAUAUUCUCAGAAAUGAUGGAGAUUUCACUGUGAAGCAUCACCAGCAACCCUUUAUUGUAGUGGGAAAAAAAAGACCAUUUAUGAAAAAUUGCAUGGGCCUUGUCAUCAGCGUCAAGCAUGUGUGGUCCACCAGGAUGGAGAUGUGUGACCUCCCCCAGUUCAGAAGACACACGGGGCAGGGAGUGGAACUGGGAAGUGAAGUGCUCAUCCCAGGGACCUCAUGCAGUGCUCCACCUUGCAAAGAUCAUUUGCUUCCAAAAGGGAGCCGCCUUUAGCCCCCUCGUCCUGAGAUUUGACCUACCAGUGAAAUUCGGAUAAGAUGGAAAUUUUGUAACGCAGAAUGGUUUCCAGUUUGUCUGUCCCACCUAAGCUGAAGACGUAUUUAUGACUCUUGUUCAACUGCAGGUUAUGGGAUAAGAAUGGUGUCACUGGGCCUUAAGGUCCUGAAGUUUCAUGGUAAAAAUUUAUUAUUUUUUAAUUGUUGUCCUAAUACUGACCAGACCAUAACGAAUCUGGCUGCUGGUGUGAGAAUUACCUUUUCUUUUUCAUAUUUUACUUAAUUGGCCAAUUGGCAAAGCCAAAAUCCUGUUAGACUUAAAAACAUUUUUUAACUGCCAGGUGGUUUUAAAGGAGAUAUCAAGUUUCUUUUUAUACAUGAAAACUACUACUAAGUGUAUGUAACCUCAUUGUCCUUUUCUAUCUAAGCAUGAGUUCACAACAAUUUAGAUCCCUCUUCUUAACUGUAAGGAAAAAACCAACCAUUGGACCAAUACAACAUGACCCCUGGGGUCCGACUGUUCCUCACACCUUUGACUUAAUAGGAAUAAAGCUAUGCAGGAAAGGGAACA
rnacentral:lncRNA from 1 species